rnacentral:lncRNA from 1 species
UGGCUCAGUGCUGUCGAUUGCGUUGCAUGUGCUUCACGGUUCCUGCAAUGCUAAUUCUGUUUGUUGUCUCGUUGUUCUUCAGUCCCCACCUUGUUUUAGGUCAUGUGCUUCUCGUGUCUCCAUUCGUUAGAUACAAAGUUAGGUGAGAUGUCCAGGAAUAAUAUGUGGUUGGUAUACCGUGUCUUGUAUUUGGACGAGCUCAUGCUAAUAUGUGGUUGGUACACUACCUGGGCAAGGUCAUUUUGAUACUGAUACUUGUGGGCAGCAGAGGGUUCAAAGCCUGACCAUCUACUCAGGUGCUUAAUUACGCCCCACGCUUCUUCGUUCCUUGUUCAAAUAUGAUUGGAGUAUCUUUAUCUCCCGUCUCAUGGAUCCUGAUAAUAUCCCAGAAGUAAAUAUUGUUGCUUGCUUCAUCUCUACUACUUUCUGUAACUGCUUAGUGUUAAGCUCUUGACUAUGCAUGUGCGGGUAGUUCUGAACAUUUGCUACUAACUGACGCCAAGCACAUCCAAUUGUGGUUCACUGCAGAUUGCCAAUGCCAAUUUACCAAUGAUUUCAGGUCUGCGAAAGUUGGAUUUUGGAUAGGCUUUCAAGAGCGUGACCGAAGCAGAGACACACACAUGUUUGUACGCUUGAAUUCUGAUGCCACCACCUAAUACUGCAGAUCCGUAGAGGCCAUGAAUGGCCUAGUGUGUUUCAGGUAAAAAAACAAUAUUCUGACCACAACCUUGUACUUUCCUCUUGCAUAGCAUAAACCACCCUCAUGAUCAACCUGAUUACUUAUGCGGCAACCUUCUUACAUAGGCAGCGCGACAGCAAUUCUUCGUCCUCAAAGCAUAUAUUUUCUCCAAGCGAUCAACAAAGUGAUUGGUCCAUUUGGAAGGUACACAAGUUUCUGAUGUUUCUGUAUAUUAUGAGAUAGAGGGAGUAGUUGUCAGAUCUUCUUUUCGUUCAGUACUUGUUGAGGCUGUCAUAAUUUUCUUGGAAACUUGUAGGGCAGGGUCGAAUGGGCGCGCGCGGCGGAGAUCGGGUGCGGGGCGUCGCUGUCGCCGUCGAUGACACGGUUCGGGAUCGCCACGCUCUUCAACGCCACGUCGUCUGCCGUCUCGGAGGCCGCCGCCGCCAACGCCGCGUCGGGCAUCGUCCACGCGAUGCCGCGGACCGAGCCUGUUGUGUCUGCCGAGUGGCUACACGCCAACCCUAGGGACCCCAAUGUGAAGGUAUAGCACUUGCUGUUCUGUUGCGCCCUCCCUCUGAAAUCUCAAUGUCAGUUGCACAAUUGGUAUAGUCUAGAUUUAAGAUAGGGUACUCAUAUGGCUGGGGUUCUGCUGCCGUGGCAAUUUGGUCAGCGCUGCUACAAGUGAUAAAUUUGUUUGCUUAACUAGUGAUGCUAGCUAGUACGUGAAUUGGUAUUUUAGCUGAAAGAGGAUUUUGGUGGGCUUUGUUUUAGCACCAGCAGUAAUCUCAAGUUUCUUAAAAACAAAUGAAGUGCAUGUAUUACAGUAUGCGAUGAAGGUCAACGCUCCUCGGAUAAACCUAUUUCCGAAAAGAAAAUCUUGCUACUGAAAUAAUGCUACAUUUUGGAGGCCUUUUCUUUCUGGACAUUAUUGGCAUAGUCUCGGGCUCUCAUCACUAUGAAUAAUAGAACACAUACUACUAGGAGGAAUCACAUUUAACUAUGCUAUUCAUAGGGUAGUUUUCUUGCUGUUAAACAUGUCCACUGGCAUACACUAUAUCUUAUUGUGCUCUUACUUUUUUGUCUAGGUACUUGAUGCCUCUUGGUCAGAAGAUGAUGGCGAGUUCCUCAUUCCAAUUGAGUUUAUAUUGUGUAGGUUUCUUCAUCAUGAUCUGGAUUGCCGCGGUCAUGUUCAGGUCCAAUGAUAUCUUGCGCAAGCAAACCGCUCUCAAGGUUGGUUCUUCAUAAUAACUUGUCUAUCAACGUGCUUCUUCUGCUUCUAGAGGUUAAUUAAUUGUUCUGCCAAGCAGACUGCUCUCAAGGGCUUUUUCUUAUCUUGUGUAUCAACGUUCUUGUUUUGCUUCUAGCAUUGGGUCUGUCCCUUCUAUUGAGGAAGCCGGCUGGCAGACUGCUGCCAUCACUAAAUCCCUAACGCUGGGGCCCGUGUUAACUCCAUUUGAUUGUCAAAUUGCUUAGAUAACUCAAUUUGAUUGUCCUCAUAGUGUUCUCACAUGCUUAGAAGAGUUGGAAACACUAUAAAUGUUUUGGUACAGAUAUGUGCUCUAGAAUAGUGAUUCUGGCAUGCUAUAUUUUUCAUUGCGGUGAAUGGUAUUCUCUUUUCCCACACAGCAUGAUUUCCCCUUUUGGGGCCUCUCUGCUUCAAAUUAUUCCAUAUGAUUGUAAUAUGUGGCCUUGAAAAACUCCUAUGGUUUUCUAUGAUGCACUCAAACAUCAUGUCGAUCAUAUCGUAUCAAGAGAGGGCAUGACAUUGCAACCCAGUGAUUUUCCUAUUAUGAGUUUUUAGGUCCUGCGAACCAAUUAGGCCCUUGGUCAUUUCUUGAACUCAAUCAGUAACUCAUUUGUGGAAAAAACUUGAUGAUGUGUGUACCUAUGUGUUCUGUUCUGUUUUGAAGUGGAUAACAUUGCCCCAUGUUUCACUUGGAAAUAACUUAUGUUUAUUGAAUAAUAGGAAUUUAUGCACCAUUUCUAUCUGUUCAUAACUCUUAAACUAGCACUGCUCUCCUUAAAAUUUCUAAUUAGGCUGACUGCUGUUUUGUGCUCCACAGAUACAACGGUCCGGCAAGCUGCUAUGGUGGUCAAGUGUCUGCUGCCUAGGAAAAUAGAUAUUUAGUUUUAGGUCAUUUCUUGUAAUGUCAGAUAUGGAGUGCUUGUCUUUAGUUUUUUGUUUUUACUUUGUGAAACUUGCUACCUAUGGAUGACACUGUGUAAUAUUGAUGAAACUAUGUAUAUGUAUGGAUGAAACUUGCUACUAUUGGUAACAUGUGUUGGAUAUCCUAUAUUGGUCACACACACACACACACAAACACACACACACACACACACGUGUGUGUGUGUGUGUGUGUGUGUGUGAUUUUCUGUGAAAAUGAAUGGAUAUAAGAAGAAACAGAAUUAAUGCCUAUUUGGUCUCUUUGCCAUCUGCCAGCAGAUGGCAAAGAGCCUGCAGUCUUUGCCGUCCGCCAGCAGAUGGCAAAGAGCCAUGCCCUUUGUCGUCUGCUAGCAGAUGGCAAAGAGCCAUGCCCCUUGCCGUCUGCUAGCGGACGGCAAAGACCUUUGCAUCUUUGUCGUCCGCAAGCAGACGACAAAGUGCCCUUUGUCGUAGCUUGUUCAACCGGACAUUUUGCCGUCUGCUGGCUGACAGCAAAGGCCUUUGCCAUCCGCAAGGCAUGCCUUUGCCGUUAGCCAUGGUGGACAGCAAAGUUUCUGGUUCCUGUAGUGAUUCUUGCUGCAGAGAAGAACAAGGCCCCGAUGCCUGAAGUUGAAGAAGAAGAUGAUGAAGUCCAAGUGCUCAGAAAACUCAACCCAAAGAUACCAGACCAUGAUGAUAAUCAUCCAGUAGCAGAAAACAUGAAGGAAAGAAAAGAUGCAGGUCUCGGACUAUGAAGACAAGCUAAUCCAUAUGCUCUGAGGAGAAGGACUGCUGUGGACUAUAGAUUUCACACCAAAGAACAACAAGAUUUCGAUGAGACAAUGCUACUAGACAAGAAGCCCAUUGUCUGUGAUAUGAAGUGGGUUGAUUGGGAAUAUAUUGACAAAAAUGAAGAUCACUUUCUAGGAGUGCAUGAAAGCUUCAAGCUCAAUGGAGUUGACAAGUUUGUGGGUCAGAAGUUGACCAAGUGGAAUGAUGAGCUCAUUAUGCAGUUUUAUUCAACAGCUCAUUUCUAUCCUGAUGGAAAGAUUGUGUGGAUGUCUGAAGGUACAAGGUACCAAUCUUCUAUUGAUGAGUGGGCCAAGCUCAUAAAUGCCCCCAAAGAAGCUUAGAAAGACAUUGAUGUCUAUGCUAAAAAGAAGAAGGAUCACAAGUCCAUGGCCAACAUGUACAAGGAGAUACCUGACAAAGCCUUGGAGACACACAAGUUGGGCUCAGUGUAUUACUUGAUGUCUGGAUUGGCCACAAUGAACAUCAUUUUGAGGCACACCUUGUUGCCCAAAUCAGGAGAUCACAGGAUGAUCAAAGGCCAUUCCAUCAAUUUGCUUCAGCUCUUUGACUUGCCCCAGAAAUUCAAGGUCAUGAGCUUGAUUGUUGAGACCAUCAAGAGAACAACUGUUGACCAGAAGAGGUCAUGUGGAUAUGCUCCACACUGAUGACCCACAAGUAUAGGGGAUCUAUCGUAGUCCUUUUGAUAAGUAAGAGUGUCGAACCCAACAAGGAGCAGAAGGAAAUGACAAGCGGUUUUCAGUAAGGUAUUCUCUGCAAGCACUGAAAUUAUCGGUAACAGAUAGUUUUGUGAUAAGAUAAUUCGUAACGGGUAACAAGUAACAAAGUAACUAAGGUGAAGCAAGGUGGCCCAAUCCUUUUUUAGCAAAGUACAAGCCUGGACAAACUCUUAUAUAAAGCAAACCGCUCCGAGGACACAUGAGAAUUAUCGUCAAGCUAGUUUUCAUCAUGCUCAUAUGAUUCGCGUAUGUUACUUUGAUAAUUUGAUAUGUGGGUGGACUGGUGCUUGGGUACUGCCCUUCCUUGGACAAGCAUCCCACAUAUGAUUAACCCCUCUCACAAGCAUCCGCAACUACGAAAGAAGAAUUCAGGUAAACCUAACCAUAGCAUGAAACAUAUGGAUCCAAAUCAGCCCCUUAUGAAGCAACGCGUAAACUAGGUUUAAGCUUCUGUCACUCUAGCAACCCAUCAUCUACUUAUUACUUUCCAAUGCCUUCCCCUAGGCCCAAACAAUGGUGAAGUGUCAUGUAGUCGACGUUCACAUAACACCACUAGAAGAAAGACAACAUACAUCUCAUCAAAAUCAAACGAAUACCAAAUUCACAUGACUACUUAUAGCAAGACUUCUCCCAUGUCCUGAGGAACAAACGUAACUACUCACAAAUCAUAUUCAUGUUCAUAAUCAAAGGGGUAUUAAUAUGCAUAAAGGAUCUAAACAUAUGAUAUUCCACCAAAUAAACCAACUAGCAUCAACUGCAAGGAGUAAUCAACACUACUGGCAACCCACAGGUACCAAUCUAAGGUUUUGAGACAAAUAUCAGAUACAAGAGAUGAACUAGGGUUUGAGGGGAGAUGGUGCUGGUGAAGAUGUUGAUGGAGAUUGACUCCCUCUCGAUGAGAGGACCGGUGGUGAUGAUGAUGGUGACGAUUUCCCCCUCUCGGAGGGAUGUUUCCCCGGCAGAACAGCUCCGCCGGAGCCCUAGAUUGGUUCCAUCAAGGUUUCGCCUCGAGACGGCGUCCCUUCGUACCGAAAGCUUCCUUAUGAUUGCUUCCAGGGAAAAAUACACCAUAUAGGAGAAGAUGGGCAUAGGGGGGCUGUCAGGUGGCCCACGAGGCAGGGGGCACGCCCAGGGGGGUAGGGCGCGCCCUCCACCCUUGUGGACAGUGGGUGGCCCCCCUCUAGUGCUUUCUUCGCCCAAUAUUUUUAGUAUAUUUCAAAACUGACUUUUGUGGAGUUUCAGGACUUUUGGAGUUGUGCAUAAUAGGUCUCUAAUAUUUGCCCUUUUCCAGCCUAGAAUUCUAGCUUCCGGCAUUCUCCCUCUUCAUGUAAACCUUGUAAAAUAAGAGAGAAAAGUCAUAAGUAUUGUGACAUAAUGUGUAGUAACAACCCAUAAUGCAAUAAAUAUCGAUAUAAAAGCAUGAUGCAAAAUGGACGUAUCACACACAUACAGAUGUUGAUUAACUCCAAGAUGCCCAAAGGAGUAUACUAGUUGGAAAAGGAGCAUCUUCCCUUGAGGCAUGAUUUUGAGGACAACACUGUUGUCAUGAAUCCUGAAGAUCCCACAUCUGUGGAAGCUCAAGAGAAGAGGCAGGAAGCUAAAGCUGAGAAGGCAGCAAAGAUGCCAAGUGCUGAAGAAGCUUAACAAGUGUUCCUCAAGUCAAAGCAAGACCAACUUGAAUAUCUUAUUCAAGCUACCUUGAGGAUUGAGAAAGGAUUGGCCACCCUGACUCAGAACCAGGAGAGCUUGGAGAGAAUCAUUGAAACAAAAUUCUAUGAUCUUGACUUGAAGGUGACAGAGAUACAAACAGCAGUUGAGCAGAUCCAGGAAGAAUCAGAAUAGAGGAAGGGGAAAGCAACCAUUGAAGUGUUUUAGAGAGUGCCUAGGGCAGAGAGAUCUGCAGCAGUGCCAGUGCCAGACACUAAAGCAACAACAUCAGCACCUGCAGCCACAGCUCCAGUUGCCCCUCCAGUGGCAACUCCACCAGCUCCAUCAACUUCAAUAGAUGCUUUCAUCCUUGGAGUCCUCUUAACACCACCUCAUGAAGAUCAAACCUAGAGUGUCGCAUAUCACUAUGCAUUUUGGUAACUUGUUGCCAAAGGGGGAGAAAGUGUAUAGAUCAUAGGCUUCGAGGGGGAGAGAGCUUUGCUUCUUUUGCUACUUAUUUGCUUGUUUGCUUGGUUGAUACUUUAUGUCUAUGUGUGUGAGAUACUUUGUUUGGUCAUGUGUUUGAUCAUAUCAUGCUUAAUGCUUGUGCUUGGAUGAUGAUAUUCUCUAACUUUAAUGUAUGAUCAUUCACUUUGCCUUGGUGAUGAGUGCUUGUUCCUAUUUCUAUCAUUUUGAGCGCUCCACCAAGAUGUAUGUGACAUGGAAGAGUAACCCAUGAUCCUAAUUGCUUGUGCAUUUGCAUUCAAAAGCAAAUCUUAAAUAAUGCAUAAAUUUAGGGGGGGGGGGGCUCUUGCUUAUCACAUACUUCUCAAAGCGACGAUGUUUUUCAUUCUUAUUAUCAUUUGUCGAAGCUUUGAUCUAUAUGUUGUCAUUAAUUACCAAAAAGGGGGAGAUUGAAAGUGCAACUAAUCCCUGGGUGGUUUUGGUAAUCCUUAACAACAUAUAGCUCAUUGAACUAAUGCUCUUUCGAGAUGACCAUUUCAGAAAGUUCAAUGAUUGGUAUGGCAUGGACUAGAGAUGUGGACCAUCAAAAUGCUAAUGACACAUAUUGGCAACAAGCUCAAGACUCUACAUUUUUAUUUAAGUGAUCCAAGAUCACAUUGAGUCCAUAGGAAAGCAAUACUAUUAAAAGGGGAUGAGGUGUUGCUUAAUGGCUUGCUUGCUCAAAAUGCUUAGUGAUAUGCUCCAAAACCCUCAGCCACUUUCUCAUUUCCACAUAUGUCCUAAACCUAAAAUUCAAACUCGGCCCCACCGAUUUGAUAUAUUCGGCGCCACCGAGUUCAUUUGACAUAGCCACUGCCACAAACCCUAGUCACUUCGGUCUCACCGAUAGGGAUCUCAGUAUCAACGAGAUGGGAUUGCAAACUCCCUGUUUCCUUUUCGUAACAUUUCGGUCCCACCGAAAUGAGCGAAUUGGUCCCACCGAGUUCGCAAUGCAAAUUCCCUAUUUCAUUUUCGUAACGUUUUGGUCUCAGCGAAAUGAGCGAACCGGUCCCACCGAGUUUGCCUGACCAACUCUCUAUGUGCCUAUUACUGAAAUUGGUCCCACCGAGAUUACGUUAUGCCCUAACCCUAGCGCAUCGGUCCCACCAAGUUGAUCGUAUCAGUCCCACCAAAAAGCAUAACGUUCAUAUUUUGACCUGAAUCGGUAUGACCGAUUUUUACCAUUCGGUAUCACCGAGUUUGGGAAUAUCUGUGUAAUGUUUAGAUUUGUGUGGAGUCUAUAUAUACCCCUCCAACCAUUCUUCAUUCGUGGAGAGAGCCAUCAGAACGUGCCUACACUUCCACCAUUCAUUUUCUGAUAGAGAACCACCUACUCAUGUGUUGAGACCAAGACAUUCCAUUCCAACCACAAGAAUCUUGAUCUCUAGCCUUCCCCAAGUUGCUUUCCACUCAAAUCAUCUUUUCACCAUAGCCAAAUCUGUGAGAGAGAGUUGAGUGUUGGGGAGACUAUCAUUUGAAGCACAAGAGCAAGGAGCUCAUCAUCAACACACCAUAUAUUACCUUUUGGAGAGUGGUGUCUCCCAGAUUGGUUAGGUGUCACUUGGGAGCCUCCAUCAAGAUUGUGGAGUUGAACCAAGGAGUUUGUAAGGGCAAGGAGAUCGCCUACUUCAUGAAGAUCUACCCAAGUGAGGCAAGUCCUUCGUGGGAGAUGGUCAUGGUGGGAUAGACAAGGUUGCUUCUUCAUGGACCCUUCGUGGCUGGAGCCCUCCAUGGACUCGCACAACCGUUAUCCUUCGUGAGUUUAAGUCUCCAUCAACGUGGAUGUACGAUAGCACCACCUAUUGGAACCACGCCAAAAAUCUCUGUGUCAACAUUGCGUUUGCUCCCUCCAAACUCCUCCCAUUUACUUUCUUGCAAGUUGCAUGCUUUACUUUCCGCUGGUCAUAUACUCUUUGCAUGCUUGCUUGAAUUGUAUUGUGAUUGCUUGACUUGUGCUAAGUUGCUAAAAUCUGCCAAGAAUUAAAAUUGGGAAAAGGUUAGGUUUUUAAUUGGUCAAGUAGUCACCCCCCCCCCCUCUAGACAUACUUUCGAUCCUACAGUGCCCCACCUCCCCAAGCAACGUGGGAAAGGGUGUGGGGGCGCACAUCCCCUUAGUGGGCUGGUUUGCCCCCUCCCCUUGGCCCAUGAGGCCCUGCAACACUUGCCAGCGCCCCCGAAACACCUUUCGGUCAUGCUGGCCAUAGCCCGGUACCCCCGGAACACUUCCGGACUCCAAUACCCUUCGUCCAAUAUAUUGAUCUUCACCUCUGGACCAUUUCGGAGUUCCUCGUCACGUCCGGAAUCUCAUCCGGGACACCGAACAACCUUCGGUAACCACAUACUAUUCCCAUUACAACUCUAGCAUCACUGAACCUUAAGUGUGUAGACCCUACGGGUUCAGGAACCAUGCAGACAUGACCUUCGGUAACCACAUACCGAAGGUCAUGUCCGGAAUCUCAUCCGGGACACCGAACAACCUUCGGUAACCACAUACUAUUCCCAUUACAACUCUAGCAUCACUGAACCUUAAGUGUGUAGACCCUACGGGUUCAGGAACCAUGCAGACAUGACCAAGAUACCUCUCUGGCCAAUAACCAAUAGCGGGCUAUGGAUACCCAUAUUGUCUCCCACAUGUUCCACGAUGAUCUUAUCAGAUGAACCACGAUGUCGGGGAUUCAAUCAAUCCUGUAUACAAUUCCCUUUGUCCAUCGGUAUGUUACUUGCCCGAGAUUCGAUCAUGGGUAUCCCCAUACCUUGUUCAAGCUCGUUACCGGCAAGUCUCUUUACAGGUUCUGUAACACAUGAUCCCGUGACUAACUCCUUAGUCACAUUGAGCUCAUUAUGAUGAUGCAUUACCGAGUGGUCCCAGAGAUACCUCUCCGUCAUACGGAGUGACAAAUCACAGUCUCGAUUCGUGCCAACCCAACAGACACUUUCGGAGAUACCUGUAGUGCACCUUUAUAGUCACCCAGUUACGUUGUGACAUUUGAUACACCCAAAGCAUUCCUACGGUAUCCGGGAGUUGCAUAAUCUCAUGGUCUAAGGAAAUGAUACUUGACAUUAGAAAACCUCUAGCAAACGAACUACAUGAUCUUGUGCUAUGCUUAGGAUUGGGUCUUAUCCAUCACGUCAUUCUCCUAGUGAUGUGAUCCCGUUAUCAACGACAUCCAAUGUCCAUGGUCAGGAAACCACAACCAUCUAUUGAUCAACGAGCUAGUCAACUAGAGGCUCACUAGGGACAUAUUGUGGUCUAUGUAUUCACACAUGAAUUAUGGUUUCCGAUUAAUACAAUUAUAGCAUGAACGGCGAUUAUCAUAAACAAGGAAAUAUAAUAAUAAACAUUUUAUUAUUGCCUCUAGGGCAUAUUUCCAAUAGUCUACCACUUGAACUAGAGUCAAUAAUCUAGUUACAUUGUGAUGAAUCAAACACCCAUAGUGUUCUGGUGAUGAUCAUGUUUUGCUCGUGGAAGAGGUUUAGUCAACGGGUCUGCAAUAUUCAGAUCCGUAUGUACUUCGCAAAUCUCUAGGUCAUAUUGUAGAUGUUGCUUCCACGCUCCACUUGGAGCUAUCCCAAAUGGUUGCUCCACUAUACGUAUCCAGUUUGCUACUCAGAGUCAUCCGGAUAGGUGUUAAAGCUUGCAUCGACGUAACCCUUUACGCCAAACUCUUUAUCACCUCCAUAACCGAGAAACAUUUCCUUAUUCCUCUAAGGACAAUUUUGACCGCUAUCUAAUAAUCCACUCCUGGAUCACUCUUGUACCCCCUUUCUAGACACGUGGCAAGGCACAUAUCAGGUGCGGUACACAGCAUGUCAUAUCGUAUAGAACCUAUGGCUAAGGCAUAGGGGACGACCUUCGUCCUUUCUCUUUCUUCUGUCAUGGUUGAGCUUUAAGUAUUUACUUCACACCUUACAACUAAAGCAAGAACUCCUUCUUUGACUGAUCCAUUUUGAACUCCUUCAAAAUUAUGUCAAGGUAUGUGCUCUGUGAAAGUCUUAUCAGGCGUCUUGAUCUAUCUCUGUAGAUCUUGAUCCCAAUAUGUAAGCAGUUUUACCCAGGUCUUCCUUUGAAAAACUCCAUUCAAACAACCCUUUAUGCUUUCUAGAAAUUAUACAUCAUCUCUGAUCAACAAUAUGUCAUCCACAUAUACUUAUCAGAAAUGUUGCAGUGCUCCCACUCACUUUCUUGUAAAUACAAGUUUCUUGCAAACUUUGAUCACCACAUCAAAGCAUAUGUUCCAACUCCGAGAUGCUUGCUCCAGUCCAUAGAAGGAUCGCUGGAGCUUCCAUAUCUUUUAGCAUCCUUAGGAUCGACAAAACCUUCUGGUUGUAUCACAUACAUCCUUUCCUCAUAGAAACCGUCAAGGAAACUUUGUUUUGACAUCUAUCUGCCAUAUCUCAAUAAUGAACUUAAGCCGACAUUCUCGCUUCCGCUUUGUCGACCCCUGCUUUCGCGAUUGCUUCCCUCUAAGGCGGAACGCUCCCCUACCGAUGCAUUUUGACAUCCCACAGCUUCGGCACAGCAACUGCUAACAUAAUUCUAACAGACUUCAGCUUCUCUAUGAUUGAGAGAGUCUCAUCACAGUCAACUCCUUGAACUUGUCAAAAACUUCUUUGAGACAAGUCGAGCUUCAUAAAUGGUGACAUUACCAUCAGCGUCUGUCUUCUUCUUAAAGAUCCAUUUAUUCUCAAUGGCUUGCCGAUCAUUGGGCAAUUCCACCAAAGUCCAUACUUUGUUCUCAUACAUGGAUCCUAUCUCGGAUUUCAUGGCUCCUAGCCAUUUGUUGGAAUCCGGGCCCACCAUAACUUCUCCAUAGCUCGUAGGGUCACCGUUGUCCAACAACAUGACUCUUAAGACAGGGUCACCACUCAGAAGUUGUACGCACCCUUCUCUACCUACGAGGUUCGAUAGUAACUUGAUUUGAAGCUUCAUGAUCAUCAUCAUUAGAUUUUUUUUCUUCAACUGACAUAGGUGCCACAAAAACAUCUUUCUGUGAUGCGCUACUCUUUGGUUGAAGUAAAGGUUCAACAACCUCAUCAAGUUCUAUCUUCCUCCCACUCAAUUCUUCUGAGAGAAACUCUUUCUCGAGAAAGGACAUGUUCUUAGCGACAAACACUUUGCCCUCAGAUCUGAGAUAGAAGGUAUACCCAAUCAUCUUCUUUGGGUAUUCUAUGAAGACACAAUUGUCCACUUUGGGUUCGAGAUUUUCUGGCUGAAGCCUAUCGACAUAAGCAUCGCAGCCCCAAACCUUAAGAAACGACAACUUAGGUUUCUUGCCAAACCAUAGUUCAUACAGUGUCAUCUCCAUGGACUUAGAUGGUGCCCUAUUUAAAGUGAAUGUAGUUGUCUCUAAUGCAUAACCCCAAAACAAUAGCGGUAGAUCGGUAAGAGACAUCAUAGAUCGCACCAUAUCCAAUAGAGUGCGAUUACGACGUUCGGACACACCAUUACGCUAUGGUGUUCCAGGUGGCGUCAACUGUGAAACAAUUCCACCUUGUAUUAAGUGAUUGCUAAACUCAUAAAUCAGAUACUCUCCCUUUGAUCAUAUCGUAGGAACUUGGUCUUCUUGUUACGAUGAUUCUCAACUUCACUCUAAAAUUGCUUGAACUUUUCAAACAUUUCAGACUUAUGCUUCAUUAAGUAAACAUGCCCAUAUCUACUCAAUUCCUCGGUAAAGGUGAGAAAAAUAACGAUAUCCACCGCACGCGUCAACACUCAUCGGACCGCACACAUGAGCAUGUAUGAUUUCAAACAAGUCACUUGCCCGUUCUAUUGUUCCAAAAAACGGGGUUUUAGUCAUCUUGCUAACGAGGCAUGGUUCGCAUGUGUCAAGUGAUUCAAAAUCAAGUGACUUCAAAAGUCCAUCGGCAUGGAGGUUCUUCAUGCGCUUUACACCCAUAUGACCUAAGCGAUAGUGCCACAAGAAAGUGGUACUAUCAUUAUCAACUCUACAUCUUUUGGCAUCAAUGUUACGGAAUGUGUAUCACUACGACCGAGAUUCAAUAAACCAUUCACAUUGGGUGCAUGACCAUAGAAGGUGUUAUUCAUGUAAACAGAAUAACAAUUAUUCUCUGACUUAAAAGAAUAACCGUAUUGCAAUAAACAUGAUCUAAUCAUGUUCAUGCUCAACGCAGACACCAAUGCAAACAACAUUUAUCUAGGUUCAACACUAAUCCCGAAAGUAGAGGGAGCGUGCGAUGGUGAUCACAUCAACCUUGGAAACACUUCCAACACACAUCGUCACCUUGCCCUUAGCUAGUCUCCAUUUAUUCCGUAGCUUUUGUUUUGAGUAACCAAUAUUAGCAACUGAACCGGUAUCUAAUACCCAGGUGCUACUAGGAGUACUAGUAAGGUACACAUCAAUAACAAAUAUAUCAAAUAUACUUUUGUUGAAGUUGUCAGCCUUCUUAUCUACCAAGUAUUUGAGCUAGUCCCACUACCACUGACCAUUCCCCUAAUAGAAGCACUUCGUCUCGGGUUUGGGUUCUUGGGAUUCUUCACUGGAGCGGCAACUGGCUUGCCAUUCAUGAAGUUUCCCUUCUUGCCCUUGCCCUUCUUGAAACUAGUGAUCUUGUUAACCAUCAACCCUUGAUGCUCCUUCUUGAUUUCUACCUUCACGGCCUUAAGCACGACGAACAGCUCCGGGAUCAUCUUCCCUUGCAUGUUAUAGUUCAUCACAAAGCUCUAGUAGCUUGGUGAUAGUGACUGGAGAACUUUGUCAAUCACUCUCUUAUCUAGAAGAUUAACUCCCACUUGAUUCAAGCGACUGAAGUACCCAAACAUUCUGAGCACAUGCUCACUGGUUGAGUUAUUUUCCUCCAUCUUGUAGGCAAAGAUCUUGUUAGAGGUCUCAAACCUCUCAACAUGGGCAUGAGCCUAAAAUACCAAUUUCAGCUCUUGGAACAUCUCAUAUGUUCCAUGGCGUUCAAAAACGCCUUUGGAGCCCCGAUUCUAAGCCGUAAAGCAUGGCGCACUAAACUAUCAAGUAGUCAUCAGAAGUGUCUGCCAGAUGUUCACAGCAUCCAUAGACGAUGCUAGAGGGGUUGGCACAUGGAGCGGUGCAUCGAGGAUAGAAUCCUUCUGUGUAGCAGUGAUGACAAUCCUCAGACUACGACCCUAGUCCGCACAAUUUCUCACAAUAUCUUUCAACUUAGUCUCUCUCUAGGAACGUAUUAAAACAAGGAGCUAAAGCGCGAGGUAUUGAUCUACAACAUAAUUUGCAAGGACAAUUUAGACUAUGUUCAUGAUAAUGAGUUCAACUAAUCAAAUUAUUUAAUGAACUCCCACUCGGAUAGACAUCCCUCUAGUCAUCUAAGUGAUACAUGGUCUGAAUCGACUACGCCGUGUCUGAUCAUCACGUGAGACGGACUAGUCAUCAACGGUGAACAUCUCCAUGUUGAUCGCAUCUACCAUACAACUCAUGAUCGACCUUUCGGUGUCUCGUGUUCCGAGGCCAUGUCUGUACACGCUAGGCUCAUCAAGUCAACCUAAGUGUUUCACAUGUGUAAAUCUGGCUUACACCUGUUGUAUGCGAACGUUAGAAUCUAACACACCCGAUCAUCACGUGGUCCUUCAAAACAACGAACUUUCGCAACGGUGCACAGUUAGGGGAAACACAUUUCUUGAAACUUUAGUGAGGGAUCAUCUUAUUUGUGCUACCGUCAUACUAAGCAAAUAAGAUGUAAACAUGACAAACAUCACAUGCAAAUCAUAAAGUGACAUGAUAUGGACAAUAUCAUCUUGAGCCUUUGAUCUCCAUCUUUGCGGCGCGACAUGAUCACUAUCGUCACCGGCAUGACACCAUGAUCUCCAUCAUCAUGAUCUUCAUCAUCGUGUCUUCAUGAAGUUGUCUCACCAACUAUUACUUCUACUACUAUGGCUAACGGUUAGCAAUAAAAUAAAGUAAUUACAUGGCGUUUAUAUUGACUCACAGGUCAUACAAUAAAUUAAGACAACUCCUAUGGCUCCUGCCGAUUGUCAUACGCAUCGACAUGCAGGUCGUAAUUCCUAUUACAAGAACAUGAUCAAUCUCAUACAUCACAUAUAUAAUUCAUCACAUCCUUUUGGCCAUAUCACAUCACAUAGCAUACCCUGCAAAAACAAGUUAGACGUCCUCUAAUUGUUGUUGCAUGUUUACGUGACUGCUAUGGGUUUCUAGCAAGAACGUUUCUUACCUAUGCAAAAGCCACCACGGUGAUAUGCCAAUUGCUAUUUACCCUUUAUAAUGACCCUCUUCAUCGAAUCCGAUCCAACUAAAGUGGGAGAGACAGACACCCGCUAGCCACCUUAUGCAACAAGUGCAUGUCAGUCGGUGGAACCUGUCUCACGUAAGCAUACGUGUAAGGUCGGUCCGGGCCGCUUCAUCCCACAAUGUCGCCGAAUCAAGAUAGGACUAGUAACAGUAAGAAAAUUAACCAAAUCAUCGCCCACAACUACUUGUGUUCUACUCAUGCAUAGAAACUACGCAUAGACCAAGCUCAUGAUACCACUGUUGGGUAACCUAGUAAUAAUUCAAAAAAAUUCCUAUGCGUCACCAAGAUCAAUCUAGGAGAUGCUAGCAACGAGAGAGAGGGAGUGCAUCUUCAUACCCUUGAAUAUCGCUAAGCGGAAGCAUUACAAGAAUGCGGUUGAUGGAGUCGUACCCGCGGCGAUUCAAAUCGCGGAAGACCCGAUCCAAGCGCCGAACGGACGGCGCCUCCACGUUAAACACACGUACAACCCAGGAACGUCUCCUCCUUCUUGAUCCAACCAGGGGAGAGGGGAAGUUGAGGGAGAACCCCGGUAGCACGACGGCAUGGUGGUGGUGGAGCUCGUGGUUCUCCGGCAGGGCUUCGCCAAGCACUACAGAGGAGGAAGAGGUGUAGGAAGGAGAGGAAGGGCGACACCAGGGCGUGUCAGGGUGCAGCUGCCCUCUCUCUCCCUCAAUAUAUAUAGGGGGGAGGGGAGGAGGAGGCGCCAUUGGUUUCCCCUACGGGGGCGGUGGCUAGGGCAGAUUGGAUCUCCCUAGGGAAACCCUAGGGAGACUUGCCCCCCAAGCCAAGCCAGGUGGAGGCUUGCCUCCCAAGCCAGGUGGAGGUGCCCCACCUCCCCAAGCAAUGUGGGAAAGGGUGUGGGGUAGCACAACCCCUUAGUGGGCUGGUUUGCCCCAUCCCAUUGGCCCAUGAGGGCCUGCAACACUUGUCGGGGCCCCCGAAACACCUUUCGGUCAUGCUGGCCAUAGCCCGGUACCCCCGGAACACUUCUGGACUCCAAUACCCUUCGUCCAAUAUAUUGAUCUUAACCUUCGGACCAUUCUGGAGUUCCUCGUCAUGUCCGGUAUCUCAUUCGGGACUCCGAACAACCUUCGGUAACAACAUACUAUUCACAUUACAACUCUAGCGUCACUGAACCUUAAGUGUAGACCCUACGGGUUCGGGAACCAUGCAGACAUGACCAAGAUACCUUUCCGGCCAAUAACCAAUAGCGGGAUCUGGAUACCCAUAUUGGCUCCCACAUGUUCCACGAUGAUCUCAUCGGAUGAACCACGAUGUCGGUGAUUCAAUCAAUCCCGUAUACAAUUCUCUUGUCCAUCGGUAUGUUACUUGCCUGAGAUUCAAUCAUCGGUAUCCCCAUACCUUGUUCAAUCUCGUUACCGGCAAGUCUCUUUACUCAUUCCGUAACACAUGAUCCCGUGACUAACUCCUUAGUCACAUUGAGCUCAUUAUGACGAUGCAUUAUCGAGUGGGCCCGGAGAUACCUCUCCGUCAUACAGAGUGACAAAUCCCAGUCUCGAUUCGUGCCAACCCAACAGACACUUUCGGAGAUACCUGUAGUGCACCUUUAUAGUCACCCAAUUACGUUGUGACGUUUGAUACACCCAAAGCAUUCCUACGGUAUCCGGGAGUUGCACAAUCUCAUGGUCUAAGGAAAUGAUACUUGACAUUAGAAAACCUCUAGCAAACGAACUACACGAUCUUGUGAUAUGCUUAGGGUUGGGUCUUGUCCAUCACAUCAUUCUCCUAAUGAUGUGAUCCCUUUAUCAACAACAUCCAAUGUCCAUGGUCAGGAAACCACAACCAUCUAUUAAUCAACGAGCUAGUCAACUAGAGGCUCACUAGGGACAUAUUGUGGUCUAUGUAUUCACACAUGUAUUAUGGUUUCCGGUUAAUACAAUUAUAGCAUGAACAAUAGACAAUUAUCACGAACAAGGAAAUAUAAUAAUAAACAUUUUAUUAUUGCCUCUAGGGCAUAUUUCCAACACACACGACACCCAUUGUGCCUACAAACUUGACCUAACAAUGGCAUAUGAUAGAGUGAACUGGAAGUUCCUGGAGGAGGCCCUUGAGAGAAUUGGAUUUCGCCAGAAGUGGAUAAACUGGGUCAUGGAAUGUGUUACCUUAGUGAGGUUCUCAGUGAAGUGUAAUGGCGAGUAACUGGAUUUCUUCAGACCGACUAGAGGGCUCUGAUAGUGUGACCUUCUCAACCUGUAUUUGUUUUUGUUUGUUGUAGAUGAUUUGGUUAAAUUGCUCAACAAGGAGGUUGCAGGGGGGAAGGAUCGCACCAAUUAAAAUCGCAAAGAACAACCCUAGUAUAUCAAAUUUGUUGUUCGUGGAUGAUAGUAUGUUUUUCUUCAGGGCCUCGUUGGACCGAGCGGUUGCUCUUAAGCAAGGUUUUGAAUAAUUUCUAGGAAUGCAUGGGGCAACUUCUUAGUUCAAGUAAAUGUCCAUUUCUCUUCAGUGAUCAAUGCCCGAAGCAGGUGAGAACGGACAUUAAAGGGGUGUUGGAAGUGGAAAUUACUACUUUCGAGAGCAAAUACAUGGGUUUACCGACACCGGAAGGAAGGAUGAAGGAUGAGCUUCCAAUCAGUUAUGGACAAACUUGGGAAAGGUGCAACAAUUGGAACGGGAGAUUUAUGUCCUAUGCUGCAAAAGAGGUCCAUGUCAAAUCGCUAGUCCAAACACUCCCUUCUUUCACCAUGGGAGUGUUCCUGCUCUUGAAAGGCUUCUGAGAAGUAUGAAAGAAUGAUAUGUGAUUUUUGGUGGGGAGAUGAAGGACAUAGAAAGGUGCAAUGUGAUGUCUUGGGAGCGCGUGACCAACCAAAGCGAGCAGGAGGGUCAGGUUCAGAGACCUGCAUUUAUUCAACUUGUCAUUUCUUGCCAAGCAAAGUGGGAGGCUCAUUCAAAACCCAAACAGUAUGUAUGCAAGAAUUCUCAAAGCAAAAUAUUUCCCAAAGGGUGACCUCCUUAGUACGAUGUUUCCCUUGGAUGCAUUGCCGGCUUGGAGAACAAUUGAACACGAGCUCGGACUACUUAAGAAAGGUCUCAUUUCGAGAGUUGGAAACGGUAAAAAUAUUCAGAUCUAGAGGGACCAAUGGAUUCCGAGAAAAAAAUGGUUUGAGAACAGCAAACUUCAUUGGGAGAUGCAGACUUUGUUGGGUUAAUCAAUUUAUUAAUACACGGAGAAAAGAGUGGGACAGAGAGCUGAUUGGGAAUUUUUUUACCCCUUUAAAGCGGAGGAGAUCUAUAAGAUUAAAAUCCUUCAGUCGAGGUGGAGAAUUGCAUCGCCCAGCAUCAUGAGAAAAAUGACGUGUUCACUGUCUAGAGUGCAUACAAGCUUGCGGCAACUCUAAACCGCAACACAUCGGUGGGAGCCUCAAACUCGUCUAGUGCUACUGGGAACAUAAGCAUAUAUAUGGGAUGUUAUUUCGAAAUUGGACGUCCCGAGAGAAUCAAGAUUUUCGGUUGGAGGGUUGCGACAAGCAAUUUGGCAACAAAAAGAAAUAAGUGCACACGCACAAUCAUUCAUGACAGUGUGUGUGACAUAUGUGGGAACGGAGAUGAGGAUGAAUUUCAUGCAGUCAUCUCUUGUACCAAAAGUAAGGCGCUAAGAUUUUCUAUGAGGAAAGUUUGGGGACUACCGGAUGAAAAGGAAUUUUUUUUUUCAUACAGGGACAAACUGACUUAAAAUUCUACUGGACAAAAAAAAAA